rnacentral:rRNA from 1 species
CUACGGGGUGCAGCAGUGAGGAAUAUUGCACAAUGGAGGAAACUCUGAUGCAGCAACGCCGCGUGGAGGAUGACGCAUUUCGGCGUGUAAACUCCUUUUAUAUGUCAAGAAAAUGACGGUAGCAUAUGAAUAAGCACAGGCUAACUCCGUGCCAGCAGCCGCGGUAAUACGGAGGGUGCAAGCGUUACUCGGAAUCACUGGGCGUAAAGGACGCGUAGGCGGGAUAUCAAGUCAGGUGUGAAAUCCUACAGCUUAACUGUAGAACUGCACUUGAAACUGGUAACCUAGAGUAUGGGAGGGGGAGAUGGAAUUAGUGGUGUAGGGGUAAAAUCCGUAGAUAUCACUAGGAAUACCUAAAGCGAAGGCGAUCUCCUGGAACAUAACUGACGCUAAGGCGUGAAAGCGUGGGGAGCAAACAGGAUUAGAUACCCUCGUAGUC